rnacentral:rRNA from 1 species
AUUGAACGCUGGCGGCAGGCCUAACACAUGCAAGUCGAACGAGUGGCGGACUGGUGAGUAAUGUCUGGGAAACUGCCUGAUGGCGGGGGAUAACUACUGGAAACGUUAGCUAAUACCGCAUACCCUCGGAUGUGCCCAGAUGGGAUUAGCUAGUAGGUGGGGUAAAGGCUCACAUAGGCGACGAUCCCUAGCUGGUCUGAGAGGAUGACCAGCCAAACUGGAACGGAGACACGGGCCAGACUCAGAAGGGAGGCAGCAGUGGGGAAUAUUGCACAAUGGGCGCAAGCCUGAUGCAGCAAUGCCGCGGGGAUGAAGAAGGCCUGCGGGUUGGAAAGUACUUUCAGCGGGGAGGCGUUACCCGAAGAAGAAGCACCGGCUAACUCCGUGCCAGCAGCCGCGGUAAGUC